rnacentral:rRNA from 2 species
UACGUAGGGUGCGAGCGUUAAUCGGAAUUACUGGGCGUAAAGCGAGCGCAGACGGUUUAUUAAGCAAGAUGUGAAAUCCCCGAGCUUAACUUGGGAACUGCGUUUUGAACUGGUAAGCUAGAGUAUGUCAGAGGGGGGUAGAAUUCCACGUGUAGCAGUGAAAUGCGUAGAGAUGUGGAGGAAUACCGAUGGCGAAGGCAGCCCCCUGGGAUAAUACUGACGUUCAUGCUCGAAAGCGUGGGUAGCAAACAGG